rnacentral:rRNA from 1 species
GCCCCGCACACGGCUCAGUAACACGUAGUCAACCUACCCUUGGGACGGGAACAACCUCGGGAAACUGAGGCUAAUUCCCGAUAGGCGGGGACGCUGGAAAUGCCCCUCGCCCAAAGCUCCGGCGCCCAAGGAUGGGACUGCGGUCUAUCAGGUCGUUGGUGGUGUAACGGACCACCAAACCUACGACGGGUACGGGCAGUGGGAGCUGGAGCCCGGAGAUGGGGACUGAGACAAGGCCCCAGGCCCUACGGGGCGCAGCAGGCGCGAAAACUUCGCAAUGCGCGAAAGCGUGACGAGGGAACCCCAAGUGCCGAUGGUCUUUUAGAUCGUCGGCUUUUCAAGAGUUUAAACCGCUCUUGGAAUAAGAGCUGGGUAAGACUGGUGCCAGCCGCCGCGGUAACACCAGCAGCUCAAGUGGUGGUCGCGAUUAUUGGGCCUAAAGCGUCUGUAGCCGGGCCAGUAAGUCCCUUGUGAAAUCGGACGGCUCAACCGUUCGGCUUGCAGGGGAAACUACCGGCCUUGGGGCCGGGAGACGCUGAGGGUACUCCGGGGGUAGCGGUGAAAUGCUGUAAUCCCUGGGGGAUCACCAGUGGCGAAGGCGCUCAGCGAGAACGGACCUGACGGUGAGAGACGAAGGCUAGGGGAGCGAACCGGAUUAGAUACCCGGGUAGUCCUAGCUGUAAAGUAUG